AGGGUUUGAUCCUGGCUCAGAACGUACGCUGGCGGCACGCCUAACACAUGCAAGUCGAACGCAGUAGCAAUACUGAGUGGCAAACGGGUGAGUAUAAUGUGGGAAUCUGCCUUUUGGUUCGGAAUAACACGAGGAAACUUGUGCUAAUACCGGAUAAGCCCUUACGGGGAAAGUUUUAAUGCCAAAAGAUGAGCCCGCACUUGAUUAGCUAGUUGGUAAGGUAAUGGCUUACCAAGGCAACGAUCAAUAGCUGUUCUUAGAGGAAGACCAGCCACAUUGGGACUGAGACACGGCCCAAACUCCUACGGGAGGCAGCAGUGGGGAAUCUUGCACAAUGGGGGAAACCCUGAUGCAGCGAUGCCGCGUGAGUGAAGAAGGCCCUUGGGUUGUAAAACUCUUUCGUCGGGGAAGAAAAUGACUGUACCCGAAUAAGAAGGUCCGGCUAACUUCGUGCCAGCAGCCGCGGUAAUACGAAGGGACCUAGCGUAGUUCGGAAUUACUGGGCUUAAAGAGUUCGUAGGUGGUUAAAAAAGUUGAUGGUGAAAUCCCAAGGCUCAACCUUGGAACUGCCAUCAAAACUUUUUAGCUAGAGUGUGAUAGAGGAAAGUGGAAUUUCUAGUGUAGAGGUGAAAUUCGUAGAUAUUAGAAAGAACAUCAAAAGCGAAGGCAACUUUCUGGAUCAUUACUGACACUGAGGAACGAAAGCAUGGGUAGCGAAGAGGAUUAGAUACCCUCGUAGUCCAUGCCGUAAACGAUGUGUGCUAGACGUUGGAAACUUAGUUUUCAGUGUCGCAGCGAAAGCAUUAAGCACACCGCCUGGGGAGUACGACCGCAAGGUUAAAACUCAAAUGAAUUGACGGGGACCCGCACAAGUAGUGGAGCAUGUGGUUUAAUUCGAAGCAACGCGAAGAACCUUACCAGGCCUUGACAUCCAAUGAACUUUCUAGAGAUAGAUUGGUGCCUUCGGGAACAUUGAGACAGGUGCUGCAUGGCUGUCGUCAGCUCGUGUCGUGAGAUGUUGGGUUAAGUCCCGUAACGAGCGCAACCCUUGUCCUUAGUUACCAGCACGUAAUGGUGGGCACUCUAAGGAGACUGCCGGUGACAAACCGGAGGAAGGAGGGGACGACGUCAAGUCAUCAUGGCCCUUACGCCUAGGGCUACACACGUGCUACAAUGGGCGGUACAGAGGGUAGCUACCUGGCAACAGGAUGCCAAUCUCGAAAACCGUUCACAGUUCGGAUUGGGGUCUGCAACUCGACCCUAUGAAGCUGGAAUCGCUAGUAAUCGCGUAUCAGCAAUGACGCGGUGAAUACGUUCCCGGACCUUGUACACACCGCCCGUCAAGCCAUGAAAGUCUGGUAGACCUGAAG
rnacentral:rRNA from 1 species